UACGUAGGGGGCUAGCGUUGUCCGGAAUCAUUGGGCGUAAAGAGCGUGUAGGCGGCCCGGUAAGUCCGCUGUAAAAGUCAAAGGCUCAACCUUUGAAUGUAGUGGAUACUGCCGGGCUAGAGUCCGGAAGAGGCGAGUGGAACUCCUGGUGUAGCGGUGGAAUGCGCAGAUAUCAGGAAGAACACCAACGGCGAAGGCAGCUCGCUGGGACGGUACUGACGCUGAGACGCG
rnacentral:rRNA from 1 species